ACUCAAAUGAAUAGACGGGGGCCAGCACAAGCGGUGGAACAUGUGGUUCAAUUCGAUGCUACGCGAAGAACCUUACCCAGGCUUGACAUACUAGUAGUAGGAACCUGAAAGGGCAACGACUCGUAACCAGUCGAGAGCUAGUACAGGUGCUGCAUGGCUGUCGUCAGCUCGUGCCGUGAGGUGUUGGCUUAAGUGCCACAACGAGCGCAACCAUUGCUGAUAGUUGCCACCAGGGGCCGCAAGGCCCGCUGAGCACUCUAUCGGGACUGCCAGCGACGAGCUGGAGGAAGGUGGUGAUGACGUCAAGUCCGUACGGCCCUUAUGCCUGGGGCUACACACGUGUUACAAUGGCAUGGACAACGCGCUGCUAACCCGCGAGGGCAAGCGAAUCGCUUAAACCAUGCCCCAGUUCGGAUCGCAGGCUGCAAUUCGCCUGCGUGAAGCCGGAAUCGCUAGUAACGGCGGAUCAGCUACGCCGCCGUGAAUACGUUCCCUGGCCUUGUACACACCGCCCGU
rnacentral:rRNA from 1 species